rnacentral:misc_RNA from 1 species
GAUGAAGAACGUAGCGAAAUGCGAUAAGUAAUGCGAAUUGCAGAAUUUCCGUGAGUCAUCGAAUCUUUGAACGCACAUUGCGCCCAUUGGCAUUCCGAUGGGCAUGCCUGUUCGAGCGUCAUUAUCCUCCCUCAAACCCCUGGGUUUGGUGUUGGACUGUGUGGUGCCUGGCACCACUGGUCUCAAAGACAAUGACGGCGUCCGUGGGACCCUCGGUGCAACGAGCUUUUCGAAGCACGCGUCGAGUGGACAGUCUCUCCGGGCCGGUCACCUCUCCAAUUUUUCUCAGGUUGACCUCGGAUCAGGUAGGAAUACCCGCUGAACUUAAGCAUAUCAAUAGCGGAGGA